AGGACGAACGCUGGCGGCGUGCUUAACACAUGCAAGUCGAGCGGUAAGGCCUCUUCGGGGGUACACGAGCGGCGAACGGGUGAGUAACACGUGAGUAAUCUGCCCUUCACUUCGGGAUAAGCUUCGGAAACGGGGUCUAAUACCGGAUACGACACUUUCAAGGCAUCUGAUGAGUGUGGAAAGUUUUUCGGUGGGGGAUGUGCUCGCGGCCUAUCAGCUUGUUGGUGGGGUAAAUGGCCUACCAAGGCUUCGACGGGUAGCCGGCCUGAGAGGGUGACCGGNCACACUGGGACUGAGACACGGGCCAGACUCCUACGGGAGGCAGCAGUGGGGAAUAUUGGACAAUGGGCCGGAAGCCUGAUCCAGCAACGCCGCGUGAGGGAUGACGGCCUUCGGGUUGUAAACCUCUUUCAGUACCGAC
rnacentral:rRNA from 1 species